GGGUUGUGUGUUUGUUAACUAUCUAAGCGAGAGCAACACAAUAUGUUAGGUGGCACGUACCUGGGGUAGCUGUAGUAAUGCCUAACUGUUGGGGGGAUUGGGUUGGGUGGUUCGUACCCUCUUUACCACCAUGGCGUUGGUGGUGAGUGAGCUCUUUUGCCCUAGUGGCCUAAUAGGUUAUGAGCCCGUGUAAGCGCGACUGCUACAGGGUGUAACAGCAGUACUUUUUAUUUUGUUCCCUUUCUCUCCUUUUCCUUUAUUUGUUGGGUUCUGGGGGUGUCUGCAUGGGUAUUCAGAGAGAGCUUAUAGUGGAGGAGAUUGAUAAGUUAGUAACUAGUGGUUAUAUGA
rnacentral:sRNA from 2 species